AUGAACGCUGGCGGCGUGUCUAAUACAUGCCAGUCGAGCGAACGGACGAGAAGCUUGCUUCUCUGAUGUUAGCGGCGGACGGGUGAGUAACACGUGGAUAACCUACCUAUAAGACUGGGAUAACUUCGGGAAACCGGAGCUAAUACCGGAUAAUAUUUUGAACCGCAUGGUUCAAAAGUGAAAGACGGUCUUGCUGUCACUUAUAGAUGGAUCCGCGCUGCAUUAGCUAGUUGGUAAGGUAACGGCUUACCAAGGCAACGAUGCAUAGCCGACCUGAGAGGGUGAUCGGCCACACUGGAACUGAGACACGGUCCAGACUCCUACGGGAGGCAGCAGUAGGGAAUCUUCCGCAAUGGGCGAAAGCCUGACGGAGCAACGCCGCGUGAGUGAUGAAGGUCUUCGGAUCGUAAAACUCUGUUAUUAGGGAAGAACAUAUGUGUAAGUAACUGUGCACAUCUUGACGGUACCUAAUCAGAAAGCCACGGCUAACUACGUG
rnacentral:rRNA from 1 species